UUUAAGGGCUGACUGCUACUGGGGAAGGUUCUCUUUCUGGAGCUCCCCUCUUAGUGAAGUUUUCUACUGUGAACCUGGGAUCUUCUAAUAUGGGUCAUCUGUUCCAUGAAGAUAUAGCCAUCUGGGAAAUUAGCAUAUAUAUUUUAUGAAGCAGAGCAGAGCUCCCUCUUGUACUGACUCAGAUGCUGAAGUCCCAGAUUCACAGUAUCCUGCCUAGCCAGCACAGCACAGCUUGUACAGCUUCUGUUACCAGUGGCUUACCUCUCCCCUGCAUGAAGAGCAAACCUACAUUAAAGUGAUGCUGGUAAAGCAGUACUUUUCUUUAAAGUGAGGAAAAAGGACAGUCCAGUUUUACAGCCAUGCAGUGAGGCAAUUUAUAAUGAUAGAAGAAUCAAUUCACCAGUGAAGCUGACAUUAUUUGAGGAGACAUUAUCAGUCACUGAUCAAAUAACUGUCUACUGGCAUUAGACACAUCUCCAGAUUGCUUUAUAUGGCUCUAUCUGUGGUUAUGACCAUGGAACACAGUUGACAUACAUCCUAGGAAAUGUAUAAAAGCCAAAUGAGAGCAUUAGUGCCAGGGUAAUUUAAGAUGCAAUAUAAAUUACCAUGGAAUGCAUAAGGAGUGAGCUACACUAAGGAGACACACCAAGGAGCAGCUCCUUAAUCUUUUAUACCUUCUAAGUGUGCUGGCAGAGAUGUGUUUGCACCAAAGCUAUUGUUGGAACAACAGAGUAAUGACUUUCUAGUACUAUGUUGUAGAUACUGGUACUGUUUCUUCCUUCUGGAUCUUUUUUCUUCUGUAGCAUUUUGAUUUUUUUUUUUGCCUAUACAGAGCACAGAGACAAGGAGCCUGGAGUGCUAAGAUUCUGAUAACCAGUAUAUGUCUAUAGCUAUGGACUGGUAUAUUAGAAAGAUGUUUUUAUAGAACAGCUAGGUCCAGUUAAGAGAGGGAAAGGUGUCAGUGGAAAGAGAAAGCACUAGUGAAUAAUUUACACAAAUAAUCCACAGAAGAUAGGGCAAAAGCUGAGAUGGUUGCUCUAAAUGUAUAUGAAUAAUGGAAUGCAAUCAGGAGGGCAGAGUUUUUGAAGCUAAGGCUAGGGAUAGAUUGGUCUCUCUUUUCUCCUCUGUUUGCUUUCUAACAUAGAAGCAAAACUAAGCCUGCAUUAAAACUGCUGGUCCUAAAUUUCCAUUAUGAAUGCAUUCUGAACUACAUUCAGAUUAUAAUCUGUAUUUUACAGAUUAGUCUCUUUUUUUUAAACACAUUGUAAUGAAAUCUGUUGCCAAAUAUUCAGAAUCGCUGAAUGUGGAUUCAGAUACAGACUUUGAGAUUUGAAGUUACAGUCUAACUCUCAUUGUUCAGAUUUGCUGAAUAAUAAUGGGAACAUAUAGGGUUGUCUUAGAAAGCACAUAAGAAAAAACAAACAACAAAACCCUCCCCUAUAGCAUGUAUGCUGUUCAUCAGACAAUCAUGCACUAUUCCAAAACUUUAUGUAUCUCGCAAGUGCUGAAAAAUCAUUCACAGACUGCCUACACUAUUUAAUGUUGUUUUCUUCUGACUUCUGCCAGUUACUGACAUAUUAGUUUAACAUUAACUGACUCUCGUGAUCAAAAUAAAUAGAUGAACCACCUUCCUAGUCUACCCAAAUCUUUACAGGCAGAAACUGCUUUCUGACAUGGCUGGUGAAUGAUGCCAAGAGAAAUCUUUGAGAAUGGUAGAAACCUAUGAGGGCUCUUGCAGAGCAUUUCCCUGGUCACUCUCCCACUCCAGGCACUUGUUGGUCUGGGUUUCCUGCACAAGUGAGUCUAUCCCUGUAGAAAUACAUCAUGGAGGAGGAAAAAGCAUCAGGAGGAAAAAAGCAAGAUCUAUUUUACAAGUUAAAUUGGCUCUAUACCAUGAUACCAAGGCACUCCACAUGAGGGCAGGGCUCUGUCUCAUUACAUUGCUGCAGCAGACAAUCUGAGCAUGCAUAAAGUCAAUUUACUUAGAAUUUUCACUGUCAGUAGUGUAACUCUGUUUUAAAUUGGUUAAGAGAUGGGAGACCUUUAUUUUGUUGCAUCUCAUUAAAUUUAAUUAUAGGUCAAUUUUUAAAGAAUGAUAUUCACUUUGGACUGUAUUUUCCCCAGUGUGUGGUUUAAAGAAGCCAUUAUUUUCCAUUAAUAUAACUAGCUAGAAAGGUACUGGAUGCAGUGGAGGGUGUUUUAAAUAAGAUGUUUUAAAUAAACCACUCCUU
ensembl:lncRNA